rnacentral:lncRNA from 11 species
GUUAUGCUGAAUGUGCAAUGACUGAUCAGCAGUGCUAUGAAGAACUGUAUACCUCUGUUGAUAACAGAAUAGGAUGCCCACAAAGGCCAAGAGUUUACAUGGGUCGCUGUGUUUGGCUGGAAGUUGUGACAAUGACAUGGAAGGUGGAGUGACAGUCCAGCUUGGUCAAUGUGGUCUUAGUCCAGUUGAACCACAUAGAUGCCAAACUCCAACCACAGCAGAUGUGAAAUGA